rnacentral:ncRNA from 1 species
UGAACUCAGGCGGGAGAGCCCGGGCUUCGAGCCCGGCGCCGAAGGAGCAAGUCCCUCCCCGGGAACCUCUCAGGCAUCCAGGACCGCCAGAGUGAG